GACGAACGCUGGCGGCGUGCUUAACACAUGCAAGUCGAACGGAAAGGCCCUGCUUUUGUGGGGUGCUCGAGUGGCGAACGGGUGAGUAACACGUGAGUAACCUGCCCUUGACUUUGGGAUAACUUCAGGAAACUGGGGCUAAUACCGGAUAGGAGCUCCUGCUGCAUGGUGGGGGUUGGAAAGUUUCGGCGGUUGGGGAUGGACUCGCGGCUUAUCAGCUUGUUGGUGGGGUAGUGGCUUACCAAGGCUUUGACGGGUAGCCGGCCUGAGAGGGUGACCGGCCACAUUGGGACUGAGAUAAGGCCCCGACUCCUACGGGGGGCAGGAGUGGGGAAUAUUGCACAAUGGGCGGAAGCCUGAUGCAGCAACGCCGCGUGCGGGAUGACGGCCUUCGGGUUGUAAACCGCUUUCGCCUGUGACGAAGCGUGAGUGACGGUAAUGGGUAAAGAAGCAACGGCUAACUACGUG
rnacentral:rRNA from 1 species